rnacentral:snRNA from 1 species
UGAGGUUUAAGAUGUAGGAGGGUGAUCUGUUACCCCACUGAUCACCAGUGUUGAUUCGGCUGAUCUGGCUAGCUAGGGAGGUGUUCCCUUCCUCCUCA